UGGACGCGCGACUAGAGCGUCCUGCGUUUUUGCGGCGCGUUUUCGGCGUCAGCGCGGCGCGAAUCUGGCGUCGACGCGGCGCGUCUUGAGCGUUUUGGCGUCAGCGGCCAAGACGCGCGUCCAAAGCGUCAGCGUCAAGAAGUUGAAAAUGCUGAACUUUUCGCGUCAGACGCGCCGCGUCAACCAAUCAGGGACGAGUAUCCAGUGACACUGCGACGUUAUUAUCAGGAAGCAAGACCCGAGAACCAGAACGAGAACCACCAACAUGAGCGGAGCAUAAAUAUAUACGCCACAAUCACCGAGCCGAUCGCGAGGACUACACCAGGACUGGACCAGGACUAAACCAGAACUCGACCGGGACUAAACAAGGACUAGACCGGGACUAAACAAGGACUAGACCGGGAGUAGACCGAGACUAGACCGGGACUAGACCGUGAUAAGACCAGGACUAGACCGGUAUUCGACCAGGACUAGACCGGGACUGAUUCAGUGUCAUUAGCGGAGUAUAAAUAUAUAUACGCCCCAGUCGUUGACCCGAUCUCCUCCGCUGAUGUUUUAUGUUUAUGAUAUUGUUUCGGGAAAAGACCAGUUAUGGAGAGGAAACAAGCCCAGCAAAAAUACUAGAAAAUCGACAAUCUGUUAUUGUACUGCGUCUUCUUUACAACUGCCCUGAGUUCAACUCCCGCCUGGACUGGAGAAACAUGAGUUUGCAUGGAUUUCUUCAUUCAUUCAUUCUGAAUGGUUGUCCCUCACGGUACAGAUGCAAUACAUUUUUGGCCUCAACACAUGGGAGCUGUUUCCCCUCCUCCAUAAAAUAAAUGAAGGCAGUCUUCAGAUGCAUGUAGGCAGCAGUUAUAAAUGUGUUUCACAGAUCCUAGUAUUUAUGUUACAUCUUGAUGCAAAGGGCCAGUCUUUCACAGGUUUUUAGGUUAAUGUAUAUUGCUCUACUACUUACUGAAUGAUAAUCCUGAGACUUCCCAAAGUUCCUCAGAGGACACACUAUUGAGUUGUUUGUAGGUCUAUUUUCUGAGCAUACUCAUUGUGACAACAGUAGAUGUGUGUCAGCACCUCAGAAAAAUAGAUUUCACAUAAACUGUGUGAAAAAUAGACUAUUGCCAUGCACACUUUGUUUUACUGUUAAGUGUGAUAAAGUACCUUUGUUACAGUAUAACGUCCAGAAAUGAGUUUACUGUAACAAUAUUAUAAUAAAGAUUCUGAAACCACAA